rnacentral:rRNA from 1 species
CUUGCUGGGUAGGGGAGCGUUGUGUAAGUGGAUGAAGGUGAGUUGUAAAGCUUGCUGGACAUAUCACAAGUGCGAAUGCUGACAUGAGUAACGAUAAUGGGAGUGAAAAACUCCCACGCCGGAAGACCAAGGUUUCCUGUCCCAUGCUAAUCAGGGCAGGGUAAGUCGGCCCCUAAGGCGAGGCAGAAAUGC